rnacentral:rRNA from 1 species
UACGUAGGGUGCAAGCGUUGUCCGGAAUUAUUGGGCGUAAAGAGCUCGUAGGCGGUUUGUCGCGUCUGCUGUGAAACGCGAGGCUCAACCUCGCGCCUGCAGUGGGUACGGGCAGACUAGAGUGUGGUAGGGGAGAUUGGAAUUCCUGGUGUAGCGGUGGAAUGCGCAGAUAUCAGGAGGAACACCGAUGGCGAAGGCAGAUCUCUGGGCCAUUACUGACGCUGAGGAGCGAAAGCGUGGGGAGCGAACAGG